UAUUAAAAUCAACUAAAUUAAUUGUGUCUUGAAAAGAAUAAAUAUUUUCAUUUGUAUUUGUACAUAGUACAAUUUGACUCUUCCAUUUACAGCGAAAUAGCUAUGACGUCUUCUAGCGAUUCUUCAAGAAGUACGAGUAGAAAGGUCAAAGUAAAAGACAAGAAUGACAAAUUGAAACUAAUAUCUAUGAUUGCAUACGUAGUAUUGACAAUGGUUCCUAUUGUCUUUCUAGUGAUAAUAAUUGUAAACAAUGCAAAAGAAUAUCAAAAAUCUGAUGUUAAUGAUACUAUUACAACAAAUGAAUGAAUAAACAGAUGAAUUUACAUAUCUCAAGACAAGAAUAA